AGUUUGAUCCUGGCUCAGGAUGAACGCUGGCGGCGUGCCUAAUACAUGCAAGUCGAACGAAUCUCUUUUAGAGAUGAGUGGCGAACGGGUGAGUAAUACAUAGGUAACCUGCCCCUGUGCGGGGGAUAACAGGAGGAAACUCCUGCUAAUACCGCAUAGCCAUGAGCACCGCAUGGAGCUCAUGCCAAAUAUCCUUUAUGGGAUAGCGCAGGGAUGGACCUAUGGCGCAUUAGCUGGUUGGCGGGGCAACGGCCCACCAAGGCAACGAUGCGUAGCCGGCCUGAGAGGGCGGACGGCCACAUUGGGACUGUGACACGGCCCAGACUCCUACGGGAGGCAGCAGUAGGGAAUUUUCGGCAAUGGGGGAAACCCUGACCGAGCAACGCCGCGUGAGCGAAGAAGGCCUUCGGGUCGUAAAGCUCUGUUGUAAAGGAAGAACGGCGCAUACAGGAAAUGGUAUGCGAGUGACGGUACUUUACCAGAAAGCCACGGCUAACUACGUGCCAGCAGCCGCGGUAAUACGUAGGUGGCGAGCGUUAUCCGGAAUCAUUGGGCGUAAAGAGGGAGCAGGCGGCCGCAAGGGUCUGUGGUGAAAGACCGAAGCUAAACUUCGGUAAGCCAUGGAAACCGGGCGGCUAGAGUGCGGAAGAGGAUCGUGGAAUUCCAUGUGUAGCGGUGAAAUGCGUAGAUAUAUGGAGGAACACCAGUGGCGAAGGCGACGGUCUGGGCCGCAACUGACGCUCAUUCCCGAAAGCGUGGGGAGCAAAUAGGAUUAGAUACCCUAGUAGUCCACGCCGUAAACGAUGGUCACUAAGUGUCGGGGGUCAAACCCCGGUGCUGCAGUCAACGCAAUAAGUGACCCGCCUGAGU
rnacentral:rRNA from 1 species